rnacentral:rRNA from 1 species
GUAAACGAUGUCGAUUUGGAGGUUGUGCCCUUGAGGCGUGGCUUCCGGAGCUAACGCGUUAAAUCGACCGCCUGGGGAGUACGGCCGCAAGGUUAAAACUCAAAUGAAUUGACGGGGGCCCGCACAAGCGGUGGAGCAUGUGGUUUAAUUCGAUGCAACGCGAAGAACCUUACCUGGUCUUGACAUCCACAGAACUUUCCAGAGAUGGAUUGGUGCCUUCGGGAACUGUGAGACAGGUGCUGCAUGGCUGUCGUCAGCUCGUGUUGUGAAAUGUUGGGUUAAGUCCCGCAACGAGCGCAACCCUUAUCCUUUGUUG